AGGAAUGUUCCAAACGCGCCAACAACGGGAAGUUCACUCUCCGAGACCUGCUCGUGGUCCCAAUGCAGCGCGUGUUAAAGUACCACCUUCUCCUGCAGGAGCUGGUCAAGCAUACCACCGACCCCACAGAGAAGGCGAAUCUGAAGCUGGCUCUGGAUGCAAUGAAGGACUUGGCACAGUAUGUGAACGAAGUGAAGAGAGACAACGAGACCCUGCG